CCUACGGGAGGCAGCAGUGGGGGAUAUUGUACAAUGGGGGGAACCCUGAUGCAGCGACGCCGCGUGGGUGAAGAAGCGCCUCGGCGCGUAAAGCCCUGUCAGCAGGGGAGAAAAUGACGGUACCUGAAGAAGAAGCCCCGGCGAACGACGUGCCAGCAGGCGCGGUAAUUCGUAGGGGGCACGCGUUAACCGGAUUUACUGGGGGUAAAGGGGGCGCAGGCGGCGAUGCAAGGCAGGAGUGAAAGCCCGGGGCCCAACCCCGGGACUGCUCUUGGAACUGCGGGGCUGGAGUGCAGGAGGGGCAUGCGGAAUGCCUGGUGUAGCGGUGAAAUGCGUAGAUAUCAGGAGGAACACCGGUGGCGAAGGCGGCCUGCUGGACUGCAACUGACGUUGAGGCCCGAAAGCGUGGGGAGCAAACAGGAUUAGAUACCCGGGUAGUC
rnacentral:rRNA from 1 species